ACGACGCUGGCGGUGUGCUUCACACAUGCAAGUCGAACGAGGUAGCAAUACCUAGUGGCGGACGGGUGAGUAACGCGUGGGAAUCUGCCUUUAGAUGGGGGAUAACGGGUCGAAAGACUCGCUAAUACCGCAUAUGACGAAAGUUGAAAGGAGUAAUCCGUCUAAAGAUGAGCCCGCGUCCGAUUAGCUAGUUGGUAGAGUAAAAGCCUACCAAGGCGACGAUCGGUAGCUGGUCUGAGAGGAUGAUCAGCCACAAUGGGACUGAGACACGGCCCAUACUCCUACGGGAGGCAGCAGUGGGAAUUUUACGCAAUGGGCGAAAGCCUGACGUAGCGACACCGCGUGAGCGAAGAAGCCCCUUGGGGUGUAAAGCUCUGUCAGCUGGAACGAAAAAAUGACGGUACCAGCAGAGGAAGCAUCGGCUAACUACGUG
rnacentral:rRNA from 1 species